rnacentral:rRNA from 1 species
AGGGUUUGAUUCUGGCUCAGAUUGAACGCUGGCGGCAGGCCUAACACAUGCAAGUCGAGCGGAUGACAGGAGCUUGCUCCUGAAUUCAGCGGCGGACGGGUGAGUAAUGCCUAGGAAUCUGCCUGGUAGUGGGGGACAACGUUUCGAAAGGAACGCUAAUACCGCAUACGUCCUACGGGAGAAAGCAGGGGACCUUCGGGCCUUGCGCUAUCAGAUGAGCCUAGGUCGGAUUAGCUAGUUGGUGAGGUAAUGGCUCACCAAGGCGACGAUCCGUAACUGGUCUGAGAGGAUGAUCAGUCACACUGGAACUGAGACACGGUCCAGACUCCUACGGGAGGCAGCAGUGGGGAAUAUUGGACAAUGGGCGAAAGCCUGAUCCAGCCAUGCCGCGUGUGUGAAGAAGGUCUUCGGAUUGUAAAGCACUUUAAGUUGGGAGGAAGGGCAUUAAUCUAAUACGUUAGUGUUUUGACGUUACCGACAGAAUAAGCACCGGCUAACUCUGUGCCAGCAGCCGCGGUAAUACAGAGGGUGCAAGCGUUAAUCGGAAUUACUGGGCGUAAAGCGCGCGUAGGUGGUUUGUUAAGUUGGAUGUGAAAGCCCCGGGCUCAACCUGGGAACUGCAUUCAAAACUGACAAGCUAGAGUAUGGUAGAGGGUGGUGGAAUUUCCUGUGUAGCGGUGAAAUGCGUAGGUAUAGGAAGGAACACCAGUGGCGAAGGCGACCACCUGGACUGAUACUGACACUGAGGUGCGAAAGCGUGGGGAGCAAACAGGAUUAGAUACCCUGGUAGUCCACGCCGUAAACGAUGUCAACUAGCCGUUGGGAGCCUUGAGCUCUUAGUGGCGCAGCUAACGCAUUAAGUUGACCGCCUGGGGAGUACGGCCGCAAGGUUAAAACUCAAAUGAAUUGACGGGGGCCCGCACAAGCGGUGGAGCAUGUGGUUUAAUUUC